rnacentral:sRNA from 2 species
GGCGGCGUGCUGCUCAGCCCGUUUCUGCUUUAUGUGUUGCUGGCGCUGCUGCUCACCGGCCUGUUGCGCCUGGUGGUGCAGGCCACGCCGCUAGGGCGCUGGAUCUGGCAUGAGGCGCUGUUUGAUGCAGCGCUG